rnacentral:rRNA from 1 species
UCCACGCCCUAAACGAUGGAUGCUAGUCGUUGUGGUGCUAGUCACUGCAGUGAUGCAGCUAACGCAUUAAGCAUCCCGCCUGGGGAGUACGGUCGCAAGACUAAAACUCAAAGGAAUAGACGGGGACCCGCACAAGCGGUGGAGCAUGUGGUUUAAUUCGAAAAUACGCGAAGAACCUUACCUAGCCUUGACAUUGAAGAAAUAGACCAGAGAUGGACUAGUGCCCUUCGGGG